GAUGAACGCUGGCGGCGUGCCUAAUACAUGCAAGUAGAACGCUGAAGCUUGGUGCUUGCACCGAGCGGAUGAGUUGCGAACGGGUGAGUAACGCGUAGGUAACCUGCCUCUUAGCGGGGGAUAACUAUUGGAAACGAUAGCUAAUACCGCAUAAAAGUCGAUAUCGCAUGAUGUUGACUUGAAAGGUGCAAUUGCAUCACUAAGAGAUGGACCUGCGUUGUAUUAGCUAGUUGGUGAGGUAACGGCUCACCAAGGCGACGAUACAUAGCCGACCUGAGAGGGUGAUCGGCCACACUGGGACUGAGACACGGCCCAGACUCCUACGGGAGGCAGCAGUAGGGAAUCUUCGGCAAUGGACGGAAGUCUGACCGAGCAACGCCGCGUGAGUGAAGAAGGUUUUCGGAUCGUAAAGCUCUGUUGUAAGAGAAGAACGAGUGUGAGAGUGGAAAGCUCACACUGUGACGG
rnacentral:rRNA from 1 species